AAGCGAAGCUGGCUACCACAACGAUGACGUCAAGGAUUGCAGCACACAGGCCAAGUCCUAUGCACAUUUCACUGACAUCCUCCUGAGACUGCUGAUGCUGCUGCUGGUGCUGGUGCAUUCGACGAAAAUAGUUUUCCCCGUUUUUAAUGAGCUGACAAGAGAUGGCAAGCUUUACCAAAUAAUACAAAAUGGCCGACUUGUACUUUGCAUAAUUUGGAUUUGCAUUUCCAUAGAGAGCAUUCGAGCUAACUAUUUCACAGACACUCAGUGACAGAGGCCCA